AGCAGCCGCGGUAAUUCCAGCUCCAAUAGCGUAUAUUAAAGUUGUUGCAGUUAAAAAGCUCGUAGUUGAAUUUCGGGGUCAGUAGGUUGGUCAUGCCACUGGUAUGUACUGGUCUCACUGAUUCCUCCUUCCUGAUGAGCCGUAAUGCCAUUAAUUUGGUGUUGCGAGGAAUCUGGACUGUUACUUUGAAAAAAUUAGAGUGUUUAAAGCAGGCUAACGCUUGAAUACAUUAGCAUGGAAUAAUGAAAUAGGACGUUCGAUCUUAUUUUGUUGGUUUCUAAGAUUGACGUAAUGAUUAAUAGGGAUAGUUGGGGGCAUUAUUAUUCAAUUGUCAGAGGUGAAAUUCUUGGAUUUAUUGAAGACUAACUACUGCGAAAGGCCAUUUGCCAAGGAUGUUUUUUCAUUAAUCAAGAACGAAAGUUAGGGGGAUCGAAGACGAUCAGAUACCGUCGUAGUCUUAACCAUAAACUAUGCCGACUAGGGAUCGGAUGAUGUUAAUUUUUUAAUGACUCA
rnacentral:rRNA from 1 species